rnacentral:rRNA from 1 species
UACGGAGGGAGCUAGCGUUAUUCGGAAUUACUGGGCGUAAAGCGCACGUAGGCGGCUUUGUAAGUAAGAGGUGAAAGCCCAGAGCUCAACUCUGGAAUUGCCUUUUAGACUGCAUCGCUUGAAUCAUGGAGAGGUCAGUGGAAUUCCGAGUGUAGAGGUGAAAUUCGUAGAUAUUCGGAAGAACACCAGUGGCGAAGGCGGCUGACUGGACAUGUAUUGACGCUGAGGUGCGAAAGGCGUGGGGAGCAAACAGGG